rnacentral:rRNA from 1 species
AGCGAACGCUGGCGGCAGGCCUAACACAUGCAAGUCGAGCGCCCAGCAAUGGGAGCGGCAGACGGGAUAGUAACACGUGGGAACGUACCCUUCAGUUCGGAACAACCCAGGGAAACUUGGGCUAAUACCGAAUACGUCCGUAAGGAGAAAGAUUUAUCGCUGAAGGAUCGGCCCGCGUCUGAUUAGCUAGUUGGUGAGGUAACGGCUCACCAAGGCGACGAUCAGUAGCUGGCUGAGAGGAUGAUCAGCAUCACUGGGACUGAGACACGGCCCAGACUCCUACGGGAGGCAGCAGUGGGGAAUAUUGGACAAUGGGCGCAAGCCUGAUCCAGCCAUGCCGCGUGGAUGAUGAAGGCCCUAGGGUUGUAAAGUCCUUUCGACGGGGAAGAUAAUGACGGUACCCGUAGAAGAAGCCCCGGCUAACUUCGUGCCAGCCGCCGCCGUAA